UGCGUAGGGGGCAAGCGUCAUCCGGAUUUACUGGGUGUAAAGGGAGCGUAGACGGUCGUGCAAGUCUGAUGUGAAAACCCGGGGCUCAACUCCCGGAUUGCAUUGGAAACUGUAUAACAAGAGUGCAGGAGAGGUAGGUGGAAUUCCUAGUGUAGCGGUGAAAUGCGUAGAUAUUAGGAGGAACACCGGCGGCGAAGGCGGCUUACUGGACUGUAACUGACGUUGAGGCUCGAAAGCGUGGGGAGCAAAC
rnacentral:rRNA from 1 species